rnacentral:lncRNA from 1 species
UGAAUCUAAUUCCGACUCCGACUCGGACCUCAGAGAUAAUGAUGGUAACUAACUAAUUAUAAUCGAUGUGUAUAUUAUAUAAUUGAUUGAUUUAUGUGUAUUUAUUGACUCAUUAUUUUUUAUUUCAGAAUUGAGUCUACCAAACAGAAGAGGUAGAAACUUAGAUCAUCCGGAAGAUCACCCCAAACAAGGUGAAAGAUAUAAAAUAGAAUGGGAGCCAACACACAUGCAACCAACUGGACAUCUGCGUAAGAAAUUUAAUGCUAUGAUCAAUAGAGUCGCAAAAAUGCAUACAAUUUUUCCAUUGAAUGUGAACUGGCC